GACGAACGCUGGCGGCGUGCUUAACACAUGCAAGUCGAGCGGUAAGGCCCUUUCGGGGGUACACGAGCGGCGAACGGGUGAGUAACACGUGGGUGACCUGCCCUCAGCUCUGGGAUAAGCCUGGGAAACCGGGUCUAAUACCGGAUAUGACUCCAUGACGCAUGUUGUGGGGUGGAAAGCCUUGUGCGGCUGAGGAUGGGCCCGCGGCCUAUCAGCUUGUUGGUGGGGUGAUGGCCUACCAAGGCGACGACGGGUAGCCGGCCUGAGAGGGCGACCGGCCACACUGGGACUGAGACACGGCCCAGACUCCUACGGGAGGCAGCAGUGGGGAAUAUUGGACAAUGGGCGAAAGCCUGAUCCAGCGACGCCGCGUGGGUGAAGAAGGCCUGCGGGUUGUAAAGCCCUUUCAGUGGGGAAGAAAAGCCUCGACCUAACACGUCGGGUCUUGACGUAACCCAUAGAAGAAGCACCGGCUAACUCUGUGCCAGCA
rnacentral:rRNA from 1 species